rnacentral:rRNA from 1 species
AUUGAACGCUGGCGGCAUGCCUUACACAUGCAAGUCGAGCGGCAGCGCGGGGGCAACCCUGGCGGCGAGCGGCGGACGGGUGAGUAAUACAUCGGAACGUGUCCUUUCGUGGGGGAUAACCAGUCGAAAGCCUGGCUAAUACCGCAUGAGAUCCCACGAGGAAAGCGGGGGACAGCAAGGCCUCGCGCGCUUUGAGCGGCCGAUGUCGGAUUAGCUAGUUGGCGGGGUAAAAGCCCACCAAGGCGACGAUCCGUAGCUGGUUUGAGAGAACGACCAGCCACACUGGGACUGAGACACGGCCCAGACUCCUACGGGAGGCAGCAGUGGGGAAUUUUGGACAAUGGGGGCAACCCUGAUCCAGCCAUGCCGCGUGUGUGAAGAAGGCCUUCGGGUUGUAAAGCACUUUCGGCCGGAACGAAAUCGCGCGGAUUAAUAACCCGCGUGGAUGACGGUACCGGAAGAAGAAGCACCGGCUAACUACGUGCCAGCCGCCGCAGUAA